CCGCUGAACUUAAGCAUAUCAAUAAGCGGAGGAAAAGAAACCAACAGGGAUUGCCCUAGUAACGGCGAGUGAAGCGGCAACAGCUCAAAUUUGAAAUCUGGCGUCUUUGGCGUCCGAGUUGUAAUUUGCAGAGGGCGCUUUGGCAUUGGCAGCGGUCCAAGUUCCUUGGAACAGGACGUCACAGAGGGUGAGAAUCCCGUACGUGGUCGCUAGCCUUUACCGUGUAAAGCCCCUUCGACGAGUCGAGUUGUUUGGGAAUGCAGCUCUAAAUGGGAGGUAAAUUUCUUCUAAAGCUAAAUACUGGCCAGAGACCGAUAGCGCACAAGUAGAGUGAUCGAAAGAUGAAAAGCACUUUGGAAAGAGAGUUAAAAAGCACGUGAAAUUGUUGAAAGGGAAGCGCUUGCAGCCAGACUUGCCUGUAGUUGCUCAUCCGGGUUUUUACCCGGUGCACUCUUCUAUAGGCAGGCCAGCAUCAGUUUGGGCGGUUGGAUAAAGGUCUCUGUCACGUACCUCCUCUCGGGGAGAACUUAUAGGGGAGACGUAAUGCAACCAGCCUGGACUGAGGUCCGCGCAUCUGCUAGGAUGCUGGCGUAAUGGCUGUAAGCGGCCCGUCUUGAAACACGGACCAAGGAGUCUAACAUCUAUGCGAGUGUUUGGGUGUCAAGCCCGAGCGCGUAAUGAAAGUGAACGGAGGUGGGAACCUUUCGGGGUGCACCAUCGACCGAUCCUGAUGUCUUCGGAUGGAUUUGAGUAAGAGCAUAGCUGUUGGGACCCGAAAGAUGGUGAACUAUGCUUGAAUAGGGUGAAGCCAGAGGAAACUCUGGUGGAGGCUCGCAGCGGUUCUGACGUGCAAAUCGAUCGUCAAAUUUGGGCAUAGGGGCGAAAGACUAAUCGAACUAUCUAGUA
rnacentral:rRNA from 1 species